AGAGUUUGAUCAUGGCUCAGGAUGAACGCUAGCGGCAGGCUUAACACAUGCAAGUCGAGGGGUAGGGGCCUUUCGGGCCUUGAGACCGGCGCACGGGUGCGUAACGCGUAUGCAAUCUGCCUUUCCACAGAGGGAUAGCCCAGAGAAAUUUGGAUUAAUACCUCAUAGCAUCAUGACCCGGCAUCGGGAUAUGAUUAAAGUCACAACGGUGGAAGAUGAGCAUGCGUCCCAUUAGCUAGUUGGUAAGGUAACGGCUUACCAAGGCUACGAUGGGUAGGGGUCCUGAGAGGGAGAUCCCCCACACUGGUACUGAGACACGGACCAGACUCCUACGGGAGGCAGCAGUGAGGAAUAUUGGUCAAUGGGCGCAAGCCUGAACCAGCCAUGCCGCGUGCAGGAUGACGGUCCUAUGGAUUGUAAACUGCUUUUGUACGGGAAGAAACCCUCCUACGUGUAGGAGCUUGACGGUACCGUAAGAAUAAGGAUCGGCUAACUCCGUGCCAGCAGCCGCGGUAAUACGGAGGAUCCAAGCGUUAUCCGGAAUCAUUGGGUUUAAAGGGUCUGUAGGCGGUCUUGUAAGUCAGUGGUGAAAGCCCAUCGCUCAACGGUGGAACGGCCAUUGAUACUGCUGGACUUGAAUUAUUGGGAAGCAACUAGAAUAUGUAGUGUAGCGGUGAAAUGCUUAGAGAUUACAUGGAAUACCAAUUGCGAAGGCAGGUUGCUACCAAUGGAUUGACGCUGAUGGACGAAAGCGUGGGUAGCGAACAGGAUUAGAUACCCUGGUAGUCCACGCCGUAAACGAUGGAUACUAGCUGUUGGGCGCAAGUUCAGUGGCUAAGCGAAAGUGAUAAGUAUCCCACCUGGGGAGUACGAACGCAAGUUUGAAACUCAAAGGAAUUGACGG
rnacentral:rRNA from 1 species